rnacentral:rRNA from 1 species
AUUGAACGCUGGCGGCAGGCUUAACACAUGCAAGUCGAGCGGGGGAAGGUAGCUUGCUACUGGACCUAGCGGCGGACGGGUGAGUAAUGCUUAGGAAUCUGCCUAUUAGUGGGGGACAACAUCUCGAAAGGGAUGCUAAUACCGCAUACGUCCUACGGGAGAAAGCAGGGGAUCUUCGUACCUUGCGGUAAUAGAUGAGCCUAAGUCGGAUUAGCUAGUUGGUGGGGUAAAGGCCUACCAAGGCGACGAUCUGUAGCGGGUCGGAGAGGAUGAUCCGCCACACUGGGACUGAGACACGGCCCAGACUCCUACGGGAGGCAGCAGUGGGGAAUAUUGGACAAUGGGGGGAACCCUGAUCCAGCCAUGCCGCGUGUGUGAAGAAGGCCUUAUGGUUGUAAAGCACUUUAAGCGAGGAGGAGGCUACUUUAGUUAAUACCUAGAGAUAGUGGACGUUACUCGCAGAAUAAGCACCGGCUAACUCUGUGCCAGCCGCCGCAGUAA